rnacentral:rRNA from 1 species
UACGUAGGGACCAAGCGUUGUUCGGAUUUACUGGGCGUAAAGGGCGCGUAGGCGGCGCGGUAAGUCACUUGUGAAAUCUCUGAGCUUAACUCAGAACAGCCAAGUGAUACUGCAGUGCUAGAGUGUGGAAGGGGCAAUCGGAAUUCUUGGUGUAGCGGUGAAAUGCGCAGAUAUCAGGGGGAACACCGGUGGCGAAGGCGCCACUCUGGGCCGAAACUGACGCUGAGGAGCGAAAGCGUGGGUAGCAAACAGG